AUUGAACGCUGGCGGCAGGCCUAACACAUGCAAGUCGAACGAGUGGCGGACGGGUGAGUAAUGUCUGGGAAACUGCCCGAUGGAGGGGGAUAACUACUGGAAACGGUAGCUAAUACCGCAUACCAUCGGAUGUGCCCAGAUGGGAGUAGCUAGUAGGUGGGGUAACGGCUCACCUAGGCGACGAUCCCUAGCUGGUCGGAGAGGAUGACGAGCCACACGGGAAGGGAGACACGGACCAGACUCCGACGGGAGGCAGCAGGGGGGAAUAGGGCAAAAUGGGCGCAAUCCUGAUGCAGCCAUGCCGCGUGUAUGAAUAAGGCCUUCGGGUUGUAAAGUACUUUCAGCGAGGAGGCGUUACUCGCAGAAGAAGCACCGGCUAACUCCGUGCCAGCAGCCGCGGUAAUUC
rnacentral:rRNA from 1 species